CCAGGAUUCCCCUAGUAACGGCGAGUGAAGAGGGAAGAGCCCAGCACCGAAGCCUGCGGUAGCUUUACUGUUAGGCAAUGUGGUGUUUGGGUCGGCUCGCGGGAUUGCCACUCCACUCGAAGUCCAGCAUUGAGUAUGGUCCACUGGAUUUGGCCCAGAGAGGGUGAAAGGCCCGUACGGGUGGAGGUUUCAGACAAGUGAGGCAAUUCACUAGGCCGGCCUUAGAGUCGGGUUGUUUGGGAAUGCAGCCCAAAGUGGGUGGUAAACUCCAUCCAAGGCUAAAUACUAGCACGAGUCCGAUAGCAAACAAGUACCGUGAGGGAAAUUUGAAAAGUACUUUGAAGAGAGAGUAAACAGUACGUGAAACCGCAUGCAGGUAAACGGGUGGCGUCAAGCUGUACGCCCAGAGGAUUCAGCCGGUUAGAGUGUAGUUAUGCGCUUGCGUGUCAACAGGCCAGAGUAAGAUUGGCUAGUCCACUGGAAGACAGUGGGCCCCGCCGCAAGGUGGGGAUGUGUGUACCGGGCGGAAGCCGGAGCACGCUAGCCGUCUGUUGGGCCAUCUAGCCGGUGCACUUUCUCUGUGGUGGACACCACGACCGGUGGUACUGCCAGUCUACUGUGUUCAAGUCGUGCUUGGUUGGUCCUUGUGGCCUACUGGGUGCGAUCACGGGCAAUGUCGGUGAACGGCGUUGAUGUGCCUUCGGGUGCGUCUUCGUGUUAUCGGUAACUGCUUGCCUUAACGGGUCUGCCUUGCGAUUGUUCUAGCUGUCGUAUUUUUGGGUGGCCUGGUGGAGCAUGGUGGUAAGAAUAACUGUGCAGGGCACCGGAGUUUUCGGCCUCAAAUGCAGUCGGCAUGCACGCUAGAAGUGUCGUCAUGUGGGUGCCCGAGCUGCCUGCCCGGGGUGGGUGUGAUUGUCGUGUCGCCUGCGCAAAGUGGGUUCGGCAGUGGCUCACCUCGGGAUGGGUUGUCUCACAUACAUGGGUGCUUACAGUGCCGGCUGUGGUGGGCCAGAUAGUCUGUGGUGUAGUGGUAGACGAGCUACCCGACCCGUCUUGAAACACGGACCAAGGAGUUUAACAUGUGUGCAAGUCACUGGGUCCUACGAAACCCAAAGGCGCAAUGAAAGUAAACAGGUGAGAUCCUGCCGUGACUCCGCCAGCCUAUUCGGUCAGAAGCAGGCAUACCGCGCGGUGGGCGCAUCACCGGCCCGUCCCAUGAUGUGGUCAUUGGAAAAGGCUGCAGUCGGUCAGCUUCCGCUGGCUGGCUGUAGUACUCCCAGUGCGUCAUCGGGGCGGAGCAUGAGCAUACAUGUUGAGACCCGAAAGAUGGUGAACUAUGCUUGCGUAGGUUGAAGCCAGAGGAAACUCUGGUGGAGGACCGCAGCGAUUCUGACGUGCAAAUCGAUCGUCAAACGUGAGUAUAGGGGCGAAAGACUAAUCGAA
rnacentral:rRNA from 1 species